UACGAUGACCCUUAUACAUCCCAAGGAUAAACUACUUGCUUCUCAAUAGUAAGGACAGUUUUACCCUCAUAAGGAUGGGAAAUGCCCAGAAAGACCUCGGACAGGUAUAACCUUAAUUGCUCAUUCAUAACAAAAAAUGCUUUUCACACCCCACACCUUUCAAACGUCUUCUUUUGGAAAAUCACCACUUAGCAUACAUCCGUACUAGGAUCAUUGCCAAGUUAUAUUUUUCUAAACUACUUUCAAAAAACUAAAUGAGAUAACCACUUUGUAUACAUUCAUGCAAGAAUCAUUACAAAGUUAAAUUCUCCUUUUCAAAACAUUUUUCAUACAUUUCUCAACCACCUUUUUCAAACAAAGAAAACAUAAAUGAUUGAGCAAUUAAGAGCCCAUGGAUAACCAUGGAUACAAAGGGUGCUAAUACCUUC
rnacentral:lncRNA from 1 species